AUAAGUAGAUAUUUUCCUCGUUCUAUUCUUAUAUACCGUUAUAUAUACGUUAAGGUUAGAUUUUUUCCUUUCGUGUUGAUUGUUAAAGAAAAUUGUAUUUUGUAUUGCAUAGACUAAAGCGCUAAAACAAUGAGAUGCAUAUCUGUCGGUUGCACAUCAGGGUACAAGAGUAACUUCGAAAAGAACAUGAUAUUGUCCGUAAAAAAAUUUUUUACAAUAACAAUGGUGACAUUAUUCAAGAGAUUACAUUAAAGAGACCAUAUCUUAAGCAAGGUGCGAUACCUACACUAUUUCCUUGGACAGAAUUUCUAAAUGAAAAUAAUAUGACAGACAAUACAGAAAGUUUAUUAUCAAGAAAAAGUAAUAACACCG
rnacentral:lncRNA from 1 species